rnacentral:rRNA from 1 species
GACGAACGCUGGCGGCGUGCCUAAUACAUGCAAGUAGAACGCUGAAGAGAGGAGCUUCCUCUUCUUGGAUGAGUUGCGAACGGGUGAGUAACGCGUAGGUAACCUGCCUUGUAGCGGGGGAUAACUAUUGGAAACGAUAGCUAAUACCGCAUAACAAUGGAUGACACAUGUCAUUUAUUUGAAAGGGGCAAUUGCUCCACUACAAGAUGGACCUGCGUUGUAUUAGCUAGUAGGUGAGGUAAUGGCUCACCUAGGCGACGAUACAUAGCCGACCUGAGAGGGUGAUCGGCCACACUGAGACUGAGACACGGCCCAGACUCCUACGGGAGGCAGCAGUAGGGAAUCUUCGGCAAUGGGGGCAACCCUGACCGAGCAACGCCGCGUGAGUGAAGAAGGUUUUCGGAUCGUAAAGCUCUGUUGUAAGUCAAGAACGGGUGUGAGAGUGGAAAGUUCACACUGUGACGGUAGCUUACCAGAAAGGGACGGCUAACUACGUG